AGCGAACGCUGGCGGCAGGCCUAACACAUGCAAGUCGAACGAACCUUUCGGGGGUAGUGGCGGACGGGUGAGUAACACGUGGGAACGUGCCUUUAGGUUCGGAAUAACUCAGGGAAACGGGUGCUAAUACCGAAUGUGCCCUUCGGGGGAAAGAUUAAUCGCCUUUAGAGCGGCCCGCGUCUGAUUAGCUAGUUGGUUGAGGUAAUGGCUCACCAAGGCGACGAUCAGUAGCUGGUCUGAGAGGAUGAUCAGCCACAUUGGGACUGAGACACGGCCCAAACUCCUACGGGAGGCAGCAGUGGGGAAUCCUGCCCAACCGGCGAAAGCCUGACGCAGCCCUGCCGCGUGAAUGCUGAAGGUCUUAGGAUUGUAAAAUUCUUUCACCGGGGACGAUAAUGACGGUACCCGGAGAAGAAGCCCCGGCUAACUUCGUG
rnacentral:rRNA from 1 species